rnacentral:lncRNA from 1 species
UAAACCUGGAAGCUCAUCUGAAAAGACAUCCUGAAACUCUCUGACAACUGGCACCGAGGCCGGCUCCCUGACCUGACUGUCUAGCUCUCUCACAUGAGCUAAGUACCCCUGACAUCCCUUCCUAAGCAACCUACGAGCCUGAAGAGCUGAUAUCAGACCUCUAGGUGUGCCCCUCAUGUCUCCUCUGAAGACGACCUCUGACCCGN